rnacentral:rRNA from 1 species
GUGGGGAAUAUUGCGCAAUGGGGGAAACCCUGACGCAGCAACGCCGCGUGAGUGAUGAAGGCUUUCGAGUCGUAAAACUCUGUCUUUGGGGACGAAUAAUGACGGUACCCAAGGAGGAAGCCCCGGCUAACUACGUGCCAGCAGCCGCGGUAAUACGUAGGGGGCAAGCGUUGUCCGGAAUCACUGGGCGUAAAGGGCGCGUAGGCGGUUUGUUAAGUCAGGUGUGAAAGUUUUCAGCUUAACUGGAAAAGUGCACUUGAAACUAACUUACUUGAGUACUGGAGAGGUAAGCGGAAUUCCUAGUGUAGCGGUGAAAUGCGUAGAUAUUAGGAAGAACACCGGUGGCGAAGGCGGCUUACUGGACAGAGACUGACGCUGAGGCGCGAAAGCGUGGGGAGCGAACAGGAUUAGAUACCCCGGUAGUCC